CAAUAAUUUUUUUUUUCAUAUUUAUAAUGAGUGAUGGACAAGAACUUCACACAGGAAAAAAUUAUCCCAAACCCCUGGGCCGUUUCUGAGAACCAGUGGAUGCGACUACCGCAAGCAGUCAGGUACAGCCUGAGCACAUAUUUUAAUUGGGAUCGAUAGAGGGAACAAUUCUAAGAUAUACUGUG